CCCUUAGAUGUUCUGGGCCGCACGCGCGCUACACUGACGAUGGCAACGAGUUUUUCCUUCGCCGAAAGGUGUGGGUAAUCUUUUGAAACAUCGUCGUGCUGGGGAUAGAUCAUUGCAAUUUUAGAUCUUGAACGAGGAAUUCCUAGUAAGCGCGAGUCAUCAGCUCGCGUUGAUUACGUCCCUGCCCUUUGUACACACCGCCCGUCGCUACUACCGAUUGAAUGGUUUAGUGAGGACUCCUGAUUGGCGCCGCCGCCCCGGCAACGGAGCAGCGGACUGCCGAAAAGUUGUUCAAACUUGAUCAUUUAGAGGAAGUAAAAGUCGUAACA
rnacentral:rRNA from 1 species